CGCCGCGUGGGUGAUGAAGGUCUUCGGAUCGUAAAGCCCUGUCGGAAGGGAAGAAAAACACGGAAGCUAAUAUCCUCCGUGCUUGACGGUACCUUUAAAGGAAGCACCGGCUAACUACGUGCCAGCAGCCGCGGUAAUACGUAGGGUGCUAGCGUUGUUCGGAAUCAUUGGGCGUAAAGCGAGUGCAGGCCGUUAAAUAAGUCGGAUGUGAAAUCCCUGGGCUCAACCGAGGAAGUGCAUUCGAAACUAUUUAGCUAGAAGAUGGUAGAGGAAGGUGGAAUUCCAAGUGUAGAGGUGAAAUUCGUAGAUAUUUGGAGGAAUACCGGUGGCGAAGGCGGCCUUCUGGACCAUUCUUGACGCUGAGACUCGAAAGCGUGGGUAGCAAACAGGAUUAGAUACCCUGGUAGUCCACGCCCUAAACGAUGGGUACUAGGUGUUGCAGGAAUUGACCCUUGCAGUGCCGUAGCUAACGCAUUAAGUACCCCG
rnacentral:rRNA from 1 species